GAGUUUGAUCAUGGCUCAGGAUGAACGCUAGCUACAGGCUUAACACAUGCAAGUCGAGGGGCAGCAUUUUAGUUUGCUUGCAAACUAAAGAUGGCGACCGGCGCACGGGUGAGUAACACGUAUCCAACCUGCCGAUAACUCGGGGAUAGCCUUUCGAAAGAAAGAUUAAUAUCCGAUAGUAUAUUAAAACCGCAUGGUUUUACUAUUAAGAAUUUCGGUUAUCGAUGGGGAUGCGUUCCAUUAGUUUGUUGGCAGGGUAACGGCCUACCAAAGCGACGAUCCAUAGCCGGCCUGGGAGGGUGAACGGCCACAUUGGGACUGAGACACGGCCCAGACUCCUACGGGAGGCAGCAGUGGGG
rnacentral:rRNA from 1 species